GAAAAGAGAUAUAACUGCCGAAAGUGGGAUUCAAAGUCAAAAAAUUAACCCUCCACGUUCUACAAAUUUUUCCAUCAAUUGGGGUUCUUUUCCAACUCAAUUUAUCAAGAGCGAAUGAUACCCCACCUCUCCCAAUCAUGGUCCACACAGCAAUCCAAGAACAGGAUAGAGGAAUUGAAAACACAUGCAUGGAGUACUGGCAUUGUUUAAUUUCGUUUCAGUUUAAAUGAUUUCGUUUACGUUCUCAAUUUUGCUUCCAUGAAUCCAACGCCAAGCAUUCAUGGUUGAUUUGCUAUUCUCAUUGUUAUUUUUUUACGAAAAUUAUGCAGAUAAGAAGAAGUCCACCCAUUGAUGCUUCCAAGUUCCAUUUUUGCAACUGAUACUAAGAGUUGAUGCUCGAUUUUGGAGAUUGCCACACUCCAACGUGGGAUAAAAGGAGGUAGAAACCAACGUUCGUGUCCUCGAUUCUUUUUCUUUCAGUUUUUUCGGUUUCUUGCUUUGCGAUUUGUGAAUGAAAGUGUGCAAUUCUGAAUACGGCGGAAUUUGCAGUGAUUCCUCUCUCCAGGUGUUCAAAGGAAAUUAAUCGGGGUGUAAGCUUCCAUUUUCUCUUCUAGGGGUUAUGCAAACCCUAAUCGGUGUACAUAUUCGUUUGUGAAUGUAUAUAAAUCAGUAUAUAUGCAUUUUUGUGGUUGGAUUAUUAGAUAGGUUUUGUUUUCGAGUAUGUGAAGGUGAAGGAGAAGCCAGUCUUCAGAAGAAUUCAAACAACAUAUUUGCUAUAAGUUGUUCUAUUUCUUUGAUAUAUUUUAUUUGGUUUGAUUUGUUCAUUUACUGGCUUCUAUCAUGAAUUUGUCAUUCUGUUUAACUACUAUUGCUGCCAAACCACCGAAAAAUACAUUUCAACGGGUCAAUAAUCUAUUCUGUGGAUGAUCGUGUUUGUCGAUGGUAUGACUCAGUCCCCUUCUUGACUUCGUAACAUGGAUGUUUAAUGCUGGUACUUUUAAUUUUAUAUGCAAACAAAAUCUAACCUUUUAUUUGCUUUUGUUUGUUUUGGGAUUAAUAGAGAUGAGUAGAUUUUGAUUAAAUUUUGGUUGAACAGAUUGUGUAGUUGGGAAUCUUGAUCUGAUGGAUACGAUUGAAUGAAAAAAUCGUGGAGCAUGAGAACCAUGGAAGCAUUAUCAAACCGCUCUGAUGGAUAGGAUUGUGUAGUUGCGAUUAUGGCAGAACCAGUGCCCCCUGCCUUGCCCAAUGUUGGAACAAUCCAACAAGGAAUACAGUGCAAAGAUUAAAGGGAGUAGGUUGUUAACCAUUGCCGAUCUUAAUUUUGCCUUCCCAGUCCAUCUCAUCUCUCUCCUUUUUAGUAUCUAACUGUGUAACUUUCAAACCUUUUGUAGUAAUUUUUCAGUUCCAAGGGUAAUUCUCCAUUUAA